UAACACGUGGGUAACCUGCCCCGAUGAUUGGGACAACCCGAGGAAACUCGGGCUAAUACCGAAUGUGCCCUCCAGCCGCAAGGCUGCUGGGGAAAGGAAGCUUCGGCCUCCGCAUCGGGAUGGGCCCGCGGCCCAUUAGCUUGUUGGUGAGGUAACGGCUCACCAAGGCAACGAUGGGUAGCUGGUCUGAGAGGACGAUCAGCCACACUGGGACUGAGACACGGCCCAG
rnacentral:rRNA from 1 species